CAUCAAAAUACAGAUAUUAUUUACUGGAUUUAUUGGGUAUUUUAGCGGUUAACAGCUAGCUACAGAAGAGAGGGGUUUUGUUCUCUAGCUAGAGCUAGCUAGCUAGUUAUCGAAGCUCACAGUUUUAAUUACCGUUACUGUAUAGUUUGAAAACAUGCUUUUAGUCGCCCGGCGAACUAAGGGCGGGCGGUGUUCCCCGUACUGUUACUGUGUCUUGAGGGCGAAAGGAAAGCCCCGCCCAACUGGUGUGCCCUCGUGUGGCAAACGAGGCGUUAUGUUCUCAACGAUGACGACAGCAUCCAAGCUUGUUGGAAUAUUCUAGCAAGUUUUCGCACCUUUUUCAAGAGUUUUAUGAUUUGUAUUGAAUAUAUAAACUGUUUGUCUUAACUUUUGAAAAAUAUAUUUAUUUUUUAAGGAAUUUUGUCAUUUUUUGGUUGUUUUAUAUCGUGUAAGGCACACGUUGUACCCACAGUGUUAACAUAGUAUACAUAAUCAUAAUGGACUUCAGAAAUUAAAUUAAAACCAACAUUUAAGCCACUGAGGCUCUAUAAAUGAACAUAUCUUAUUUUUCUAUUUUUUUUUAUUUGUUAACAUUUUUAUUGUUAUAAAAUGAAUAGGAAACUGAGAUUUUUAGUGACUCCUACUACUGUAACAAUUAGAUUUAUUGGAUUAGCCAAUGGACAGAAUAGUGUACAUAAUCAUAAUGGAUUUCAAGGGGUCUUUGGCGUCGUUUGUACAGUGUUGACAUGUCUUUGACUGCUUAUAGCAAAUUAGUAGACUGUAUCCUGCAGCUAAAUACCCUUUUGAGGGCUUUUUUUUCUCCAUUGAUUUUAGUUUUUUAAAGUGAUGUGGAAAAAGAAAAUCCAUGCAACCCAUUCAGGUCUUAUAUUAAAAAGUGUGUCAUUCAUUGUUUCUAAAUAACGUUAGUAUUUGUAACACAAAAGAUGAUUUCUUGAACUGUAGGAGAAAAGAAACAGGCCUCUUUAGGUUAAAUUAUUAACUUUAUACCAAGUCAUAGAAAGUAUUUUAAAUUGAAAUCAACAUUUAAACCACUGAGGGUCUAUAAAUGAACAUAUCUUAAUUUCAUGGAUUUAAAGGAGCAUUUUGGUAUUUUUUUUUAAAUUUGUUAACAUUGUUAUUGUUAUAAAAGCAUCCAACAGCUUGUUGGAAUAUUCUAGCAAGUUGUUGUAUCUUUUUCAGGUGUUCAGCUCAUUCGGCUGAUAAGGCACACGUUGUGCACACAGUGUUAACAUAGUGUACAUAAUCAUAAUGGAUUUUCAAGGUUGUCUUUGUACAGUGUUGACAUGUCUAUGACUGCUUAUAACAAAUGAAUAGACUGUAUCCUGCAGCAGCUUUUUUUUUCUCCGUUGAUUUUAUUUUUUUUUAAAGUCUUGCAGGUUUUGAUGGGGAAAAAGAAUAGAAAUCCAUUCAGGUGUUAUAUUAAAAAGUGUGUAAUUCAUUGUUUCUGAAUAAAGUUAGUAUUUGUUAACUCAGUGUAUAACAAAAGAUUAUUUCUUGAACUGUAGGAGAAAAUAAAUAGGCCUCUUUAGGCUAAAUGAUUAACUUAAUACCAAGUCAUAGGAAGUAUUUUAAAUUGAAACCAACAUUUAAGCCACUGAGGCUCUAUAAAUGAGUAUUUUAGUAUUUUUUUUUUAUUUGUUAACAUUGUUAUUGUUAUAAAAUGAAUAGGAAACAUUAACUGAGAUUUUUGGUUACUCUUAAUACUGAAAUAAUUAGAUUUAUUGGAUUAGCCAAUGGACAGACCGAUAAUAGAUAAUGACUUUUAAAAUUAAAUUAACAUCAUUUUGUGUAUAAAAAAACACUGCUGAUUACAGAAUAAAAUGGUAAAGAGUGGCUUGUUUCUUUCUAUUUUUUCAGAUUAUAUCUGACCUUUGGUUUUUUUUCCCCGUAAUAAUUUAUUGGGAGUAACAACAGGUGUAUAGAAACGUACAAAUAGAGCACAAAUGUAAAGAAUUGUCCCUCCAUAUUUUGGUAUUUUUCCCCCAAAGCACCCUCCCACCCUACCCUCACCCACUGCAGAUGCAAAAAGGAUAAA